AGAGUUUGAUCCUGGCUCAGAACGAACGCUGGCGGCAGGCUUAACACAUGCAAGUCGAACGCACCGCAAGGUGAGUGGCAGACGGGUGAGUAACGCGUGGGAACGUGCCCUUCAGUUCGGGAUAACCCAGGGAAACUUGGGCUAAUACCGGAUACGUGCGAGAGCAGAAAGAUUUAUCGCUGAAGGAUCGGCCCGCGUCUGAUUAGCUAGUUGGUAGGGUAAUGGCCUACCAAGGCGACGAUCAGUAGCUGGUCUGAGAGGAUGAUCAGCCACAUUGGGACUGAGACACGGCCCAAACUCCUACGGGAGGCAGCAGUGGGGAAUAUUGGACAAUGGGCGCAAGCCUGAUCCAGCCAUGCCGCGUGAGUGAUGAAGGCCUUAGGGUUGUAAAGCUCUUUCGGCGGGGACGAUAAUGACGGUACCCGCAGAAGAAGCCCCGGCUACUUCGUGCCAGCAGCCGCGGUAAUACGAAGGGGGCUAGCGUUGUUCGGAAUCACUGGGCGUAAAGGGCGCGUAGGCGGCCUGAUAAGUCGGGGGUGAAAGCCUGUGGCUCAACCACAGAAUUGCCUUCGAUACUGUCGGGCUUGAGACCGGAAGAGGUCAGUGGAACUGCGAGUGUAGAGGUGAAAUUCGUAGAUAUUCGCAAGAACACCAGUNNNNAAGCGGCUGACUGGUCCGGUUCUGAGCUGAGGGCGAAAGCGUGGNNAGCAAACAGGAUUAGAUACCCNNGUAGUCC
rnacentral:rRNA from 1 species